CUGACUUUAACAGAAAAAAGUGAGAUUAAAGUUAUUUAGAGAACAGUUUAAAUGAAUAAGAUAAGUGUUCAUGUGAGAUUUUAGAAACCAGUUUUGUGAAAACAUGUUCAAUAAUAGACAAGACAAAAUUGAAAAAGGUAAAAACUUUGUUAUAACAUGUGAAAGGACAUCAGAAGAUCCUGCCAACAUAGGUUGUUUGCCUUUGUCCAUGAAGGAACUCAAUGAAGCAUUUUCCUAAUCUAUUAUACUUGCAUUGCAUCUCUAAUAGUGUUUGUUGGUUUUGCUUAAGAACAUAGAGAUCAAUUAAAAGAAGAUCAAUUAAUUGAAAAUAUCAAAAGAGAAAGUAUUUUUGUUGGCUUUGCUUAAGAACAUGGAACUAUUAGAGUAUAAGUAAUCUAUGAAAAGUUUCUCCAAAAAAACAGAGUAUUAAAAUCAAAAGGCAGCCUAAAACAUGUUGAACUCAUAGAAUUAGAUUGCAAGUUAAAUACCAAAAACAUCAUAGCCAUAGUCAUACCUACCAACAUUGAACUCAGUAGCAAUAGUCAAGGCCAUUUUUUUCUAAAGUUUUUAGCAAGUUUAUAGCCAGAAUGAUGAAGAAGACACCAUUUUUAUAAAUACCUGAAAGCUGGUGAUGUAAAAGCUAACAAAUAAUCAGUAUUCACUAAUUGCAUACAAAUGAUGGUUUAGAAAAGCACAAAAAAUAAGACCACAAAGCCAUCAAUUUUUCAUAGAGACGUUUUCUCAAACACUUUGAGUGCUCUUACUUUCACAAUCAAAUGAGAGUUUUCAAAUACAAUCAAAGCUAGGUAAAUGAAAAGAAAAAUGAAAUAUGGAAAUGAACAUUGAAGAAAUUGCAGAAGUAUAGUAAAUAGCUAUGAAAAUAUACCUUUAAACUCCAUUUCUCUUAACAGCAGCAACAAAACCAAGAGGAAAACCUGGAAGUACAAAAAAGUAACAGAAAAAUGCAAAAAUUAGAAAUAAAAAUUGAAAUAAAAAAAACAAAUUAAGAAAAACUAUAAAAUAGUGCGAAAAGAGAUCGAGACCUGUAGACAGGAGAUUGAAAAAAAUGAGGGAUUUCAAAAAGGGAAGAAAAAUGGAGCUCAUCAAGCUUUGGAGUAUAGAGAGAGAGAUGAGAGUUUGAAAUUUGAAAUUGAGAAUUGGUUUUUGAAAGUGGCUGAAUGUGUACUUCAUAUCCAUUAUAUGCAUAAUUGUUUUUGUCCAACACAGAUGAUAAUUUGUCCUAUGGUUAAAAUUUUGUUUCUGUUUGACUCCUUUUUUUGGUCUGACGGUCAGAUUUUGGUUGUUUUGCACAUGAGUGAAAGUGACGGGUCCUCCUUAUUAGCUUCAGCCCUCCAAAAGGGAAAUUCAAACAUUUGAAUUUUACUUCCAAUUCAAGCAAUCAAAUUGGCAAAGACAAAAGUCGCUCUUUUAUUUUCUUCAAAAGUUUGAUGGCUUUGUGGUAAUUAAUGCAUUCAAGUAAAAACCAUAUUUUAAAAAAUGAGAUUAUUUUGAAAAGUCCUAAACUACACAACAAAGCCUUUCUUUUAUAGACUAAUAAUCAUUUAGUUCUAAUGAC
rnacentral:lncRNA from 1 species